GAAUAAUUAAUAGUUAGUUUGGACCAUAGAGGCACCAAAACCAGAAGAGACCAGAUUCCAUUCGACACCUGCUGUUUACACUGUCAUUAAAAACGGAUCUACGUGCACGUGUGAUCCCAAAAACCAGAUCUGGUCUACAUGAGUGUGCAUGUGUGAACAUGUCUCACCCUCAGUUAGAUCCAUGUAGGCCAGAAACGCUGCAUGCAGCUGUGCGCUGUCCUCAACAUCCAGACUCUUCAUUUCCAGAUACUAACACACAAACAAUCUCAGACGAGCUGUCAGCUGAUCAUCUCACACCUGCAGUCCCUGAGAGUCGUCCCUGCUGAAGGCCACAACUCGCAUGCAACAUACUUCUUAGGAUGCAUUGACAGACCGGACCACCCAAAGGACAGAAUAGCCAUCUGGCGUCCACAUGUGCGUGUGCAACAGGGACCAUUACUGGACCUUAACCAGUGCCCCUCGAUCAAGAGCACACACUGCAGGAGGAAGAGGAGGCACUGAAGCACUGAACUCCUCUCAGCUGCAGGCCAUGGAUAUAAAGACUUGUACUCAGAGUGCAUGGCUGCUUCCUCAGCCACUACAACAUCUGGAAACUGGUGGUACAGCAGAAACUGCAGCAGGUGCGUGUGCUGGAGGAGGAUGUCAGGUCUGAGCACAGGUUUUGCAGCAGGCUGGUUUCCGACGACGUGGGACUCGACUGGGACCUGAGUUAUGUGGGCUGCAAAUGAAAGUCCUGGGUGAAGGGACUCUUGUGCACCCAGGAUACUCCUACUGGACUUUGGGUUAAUUCCUGUCUCUGCAGGAGGCCAAAAAGCUUCUGCAGGCAGAACCUAGACACAAAAUGCUGCCUGUGGACGAGUUCCUGCCAACAAUGUUCAACGAGCACCCAAAAGACGCGUACAUGCAGCAUUAUGAGCAGAGGGAACUGAGAGCAUUUUCAGCCUCUGGUGCUCUUCCCCGUGGCUACGUCAGCGACAGGGAGACGUCCACCAUCUGGAACGAUGAGGCAGUGGAAACAGACUGGGACAGAGACGGGGCCAAACACCAACGUGGGCAGGAAACUGAGGGACCAGGGUUUCGACAUGUGGCUCCUCAAGCCGCUUGUGGCGGCGCGUCUUCCCUCUCUGCCACUGGAGCCAGAAAUGAACUCUGAGGAAGACUCAACAUAUACUGUACCUUCACACAUACACACACACACACACACCGACAACCUCAGAUUAGCUGUUAGUUCCCUUUAUUCCUCGGGUUCCAGACAAAGUAAAUCAGAAACUCAAAGAGUGUUUUUUUGUCGGCAUAGACAAUAUCAUUUUCUUCAAUAGUAAUAACAAAACUUAAAUAUAGGAUACAUAGUGAAUGUC